rnacentral:rRNA from 1 species
UACGUAGGGUCCGAGCGUUGUCCGGAAUUACUGGGCGUAAAGAGCUCGUAGGUGGUUUGUCGCGUUGUCCGUGAAAACUCACAGCUUAACUGUGGGCGUGCGGGCGAUACGGGCAGACUGGAGUACUGCAGGGGAGACUGGAAUUCCUGGUGUAGCGGUGGAAUGCGCAGAUAUCAGGAGGAACACCAAUUGCGAAGGCAGCUCGCUGGGACGUUACUGACGCUGGAGACGGCGAAAGCAUGGGGAGCGAACAGG